rnacentral:rRNA from 1 species
UGGCGGACGGGUGAGUAAUGUCUGGGAAACUGCCCGAUGGAGGGGGAUAACUACUGGAAACGGUAGCUAAUACCGCAUAAUGUCUACGGACCAAAGCGGGGGACCUCCGGGCCUCGCGCCAUCAGAUGAACCCAUAUGGGAUUAGCUUGUAGGUAAGGUAACGGCUUACCUAGGCGACGAUCCCUAGCUGGUCUGAGAGGAUGAUCAGCCACACUGGGACUGAGACACGGUCCAG